rnacentral:rRNA from 1 species
UACGAAGGGGGCUAGCGUUGUUCGGAAUCACUGGGCGUAAAGGGCGCGUAGGCGGCUUUGUAAGUCGGGGGUGUAAGCCUGUGGCUCAACCACAGAAUUGCCUUCGAUACUGCAUGGCUUGAGACCGGAAGAGGUAAGUGGAACUGCGAGUGUAGAGGUGAAAUUCGUAGAUAUUCGCAAGAACACCAGUGGCGAAGGCGGCUUACUGGUCCGGUUCUGACGCUGAGGCGCGAAAGCGUGGGGAGCAAACAGG